rnacentral:lncRNA from 1 species
UGCUAUAUUUGACACUAUUAACUACCUUCUUUUCCUAACUUUAUGACUUCCAUGACAUUAUAACCUAUAUUUCUAUCUCAGGACUACAUAGAAAGUCAGAAUAUGGGUAUGUCUCAAUCAAACUGGUACAGGAUUGAUGCUGCUUAAGGGGAGAUCUGUUGUCUGAGUCUUAAAGGACCACUUUUAGGGUUUUCUUGGUAAAGAUACUAGAAGAGUUUCCUGUUUCGUGCUCCAGUUUAUUUUAUAGAUGAAGACACUGUAGCAAACAGGGCUUCAUUUACAGAUAAAGCCCUGAGGCAAACAAGAGUUAAGUGGCGUACAUCAAGUUACACAACUAAGACUUCUUCC